GGGCCCGCACAAGCAGCGGAGCAUGUGGUUUAAUUCGAAGCAACGCGAAGAACCUUACCAGGGCUUGACAUCGUCUGCAUAGUAUAGAGAUAUACGAAACCCUUCGGGGCAGAUAGACAGGUGGUGCAUGGUUGUCGUCAGCUCGUGUCGUGAGAUGUUGGGUUAAGUCCCGCAACGAGCGCAACCCUUGUAAUUAGUUGCUAACACGCAAAGGUGAGCACUCUAAUUAGACUGCCGUGGGUAACACGGAGGAAGGUGGGGAUGACGUCAAAUCAUCAUGCCCCUUAUGUCCUGGGCUACACACGUGCUACAAUGGCUGGUACAAAGAGAAGCGAACCAGCGAUGGGGAGCCAAACUUUAAAAAGCAGUCCCAGUUCGGAUUGAUGGCUGCAACCCGCCAUCAUGAAGCCGGAGUUGCUAGUAAUCGCGAAUCAGCAUGUCGCGGUGAAUACGUUCCCGGGCCUU
rnacentral:rRNA from 1 species